CCUACGGGUGGCAGCAGUGAGGAAUAUUGGUCAAUGGACGCAAGUCUGAACCAGCCAUGCCGCGUGCAGGAAGACGGCUCUAUGAGUUGUAAACUGCUUUUGUACGAGGGUAAACGCAGAUACGCGUAUCUGUCUGAAAGUAUCGUACGAAUAAGGAUCGGCUACCUCCGUGCCAGCAGCCGCGGUAAUACGGAGGAUGCAAGCGUUAUCCGGAUUUAUUGGGUUUAAAGGGUGCGUAGGCGGUCGGAUAAGUUAGCGGGGAAAUCCCGAGGCUCAACUUCGUAAUUGCCUCUGAUACUGUCAGGCUAGAGAGUAGUUGCGGUAGGCGGAAUGUAUGGUGUAGCGGUGAAAUGCUUAGAGAUCAUGCAGAACACCGAUUGCGAAGGCAGCUUACCAAGCUACUACUGACGUUGAGGCACGAAAGCGUGGGGAGCAAACAGGAUUAGAUACCCCAGUAGUC
rnacentral:rRNA from 1 species